rnacentral:rRNA from 2 species
UACGGAGGGUGCAAGCGUUGUCCGGAAUCACUGGGCGUAAAGGGCGCGUAGGCGGCUCAUAAAGGCUGUGGUGAAAGUUCGGGGCUCAACCUCGAAUCGGCCGUGGCGACUUGUGGGCUGGAGCACUGUAGAGGCGGGUGGAAUUCCGGGUGUAGCGGUGGAAUGCGUAGAGAUCCGGAAGAACACCAGUGGCGAAGGCGGCCCGCUGGGCAGUGGCUGACGCUGAGGCGCGACAGCGUGGGGAGCAAACAGG